rnacentral:rRNA from 1 species
UCAGUCGACUCCUACGGGGAGGCAGCAGUGGGGGAAUAUUGCACAAUGGGCGCAAGCCUGAUGCAGCCAUGCCGCGUGUAUGAAGAAGGACCUUCGGGUUGUAAAGUACUUUCAGCAGUGAGGAAGGUGGGUAUGUUAAUAGCAUAUUCAUUUGACGUUAGCUGCAGAAGAAGCACCGGCUAACUCCGUGCCAGCAGCCGCGGUAAUACGGAGGGUGCGAGCGUUAAUCGGAAUUACUGGGCGUAAAGCGCAUGCAGGUGGUUUGUUAAGUCAGAUGUGAAAGCCCGGGGCUCAACCUCGGAAUUGCAUUUGAAACUGGCAAACUAGAGUACUGUAGAGGGGGGUAGGAAUUUCAGGUGUAGCGGUGAAAUGCGUAGAGAUCUGAAGGAAUACCGGUGGCGAAGGCGGCCCCCUGGACAGAUACUGACACUCAGAUGCGAAAGCGUGGGGAGCAAACAGGAUUAGAUACCCUGGUAG